UGGGGAAUUUUGGACAAUGGGCGCAAGCCUGAUCCAGCCAUGCCGCGUGCGGGAAGAAGGCCUUCGGGUUGUAAACCGCUUUUGUCAGGGAAGAAAUCUUCUGAGUUAAUACCUCGGGAGGAUGACGGUACCUGAAGAAUAAGCACCGGCUAACUACGUGCCAGCAGCCGCGGUAAUACGUAGGGUGCAAGCGUUAAUCGGAAUUACUGGGCGUAAAGCGUGCGCAGGCGGUUUUGUAAGACAGAGGUGAAAUCCCCGGGCUCAACCUGGGAACUGCCUUUGUGACUGCAAGGCUUGAGUGCGGCAGAGGGGGAUGGAAUUCCGCGUGUAGCAGUGAAAUGCGUAGAUAUGCGGAGGAACACCGAUGGCGAAGGCAAUCCCCUGGGCCUGCACUGACGCUCAUGCACGAAAGCGUGGGGAGCAAACAGGAUUAGAUACCCCUGGUAGUCCACGCCCUAAACGAUGUCAACUGGUUGUUGGGAAGGUUCCUUCUCAGUAACGUAGCUAACGCGUGAAGUUGACCGCCUGGGGAGUACGGCCGCAAGGUUGAAACUCAAAUGAAUUGACGGGGUCAUAGCUGUUU
rnacentral:rRNA from 1 species